UACGUAGGGUGCGAGCGUUGUCCGGAAUUAUUGGGCGUAAAGAGCUUGUAGGCGGUUUGUCGCGUCUGCUGUGAAAAUCCGGGGCUCAACCCCGGACUUGCAGUGGGUACGGGCAGACUAGAGUGUGGUAGGGGAGACUGGAAUUCCUGGUGUAGCGGUGAAAUGCGCAGAUAUCAGGAAGAACACCCGUGGCUAAGGCGGUUCUCUAGUACGGUACUGACGCUGAGACGCGAAAGCGUGGGGAGCGAACAGG
rnacentral:rRNA from 1 species